UUGAUUGUUUCAAUAUCACGCGCCGUAUAUACUCUUGUCUUUCGGGGUCUAGCUCCAACAAUGCAUCCUCUGCUUUUCCACAUUCAGCAUAAUAUUUCUCAAAAUCAAAAAGACCAGUAUCAGGGUUCAUUUCAAGGUGAAUGUCGUCGUCCUUACGCGGAUGGGUUCGAUCCCACAAUGCUUUCUCUUGUGCUCUCCUUUCUUUUUCAUCCCAUUUAGCAUAAUAUUUGUCAUAAUCAAAAAGACCAGUAUCAGGGUCAACUUCAAGCUCAAUGUCGUCCUUAUGCCUGGUUUUACUUUUACUUGAUUCUCUGGCAACUUGAGGGGCUUUCCUGAUCAGAUCUAAAAUGACAUUCCAAUCAAUAGUAUUCCCUUUCUCCUUCUCUGUGCUGCGGGAAGAACCACCUUGGGCAGGAGCAUCCGCUUUCUCCUUGUCUGUACUGGCAGGAUCAUCAUCAGUACUAUCUACCCUCUUCUCUGAGGUGAGCUUGCCAGAAGAGUCUCUGCCACCUUUUCUUGAAAGGUGCCUCACACUCAAGAAAUUUGUGACUUGACUCCUCCUCCAAUGUCUUGUCAACAAAAGUGCCAUCUGUAACACCCCGAUUUCGGUGGCGUCACUUUAGUAACUCAAAAUAAAAUAAAGCGGAAAAAGCAGGUAUUUUUUUUUGUUUUGUUUAAAUAAAAAGACUUGUCGAAAUAAAGACUCAACCCAAUCGCGAUUAACAGUGAUUAAUAUACAAUACAAGCACAGCCCUCGCUGCAACUAAACAUCGUCACGAGUGACCUCCAGAGACGGAAAGGUAGUGCCCGUGGGCAAAUAUGUACAAACUAAAACAAAGGUUAAGUAUUCUGAGUACAGUCCUCCAACGAAAGUAAGUCGGCCCAAAACGGCCUCAAAAGACUUCCUACGUCCGACAAACUCCCUGUGAUCCUCAUGGAAGGGAAUCACAUGAAAAGCUAAUAGUCGGGGACCUGCCCUGCCCCAAAAUAAGGAAUGACAAUCAGAGCUAUGACUCUAACAACCAUCUCAUAAAAUAAAACAAAUCAUUUCUGGAGAGAGAUUUGUGUUGGAGAAGCCACAGAAUUCAGCAAAAUAAAUAAAUAAAAUAAUAAUUAUUACUUGUAACAACAACUCACUUCUUGAUUGUUUCAAUAUCACGCGCCGUAUAUACUCUUGUCUUUCGGGGUCUAGCUCCAACAAUGCAUCCUCUGCUUUUCCACAUUCAGCAUAAUAUUUCUCAAAAUCAAAAAGACCAGUAUCAGGGUUCAUUUCAAGGUGAAUGUCGUCGUCCUUACGCGGAUGGGUUCGAUCCCACAAUGCUUUCUCUUGUGCUCUCCUUUCUUUUUCAUCCCAUUUAGCAUAAUAUUUGUCAUAAUCAAAAAGACCAGUAUCAGGGUCAACUUCAAGCUCAAUGUCGUCCUUAUGCCUGGUUUUACUUUUACUUGAUUCUCUGGCAACUUGAGGGGCUUUCCUGAUCAGAUCUAAAAUGACAUUCCAAUCAAUAGUAUUCCCUUUCUCCUUCUCUGUGCUGCGGGAAGAACCACCUUGGGCAGGAGCAUCCGCUUUCUCCUUGUCUGUACUGGCAGGAUCAUCAUCAGUACUAUCUACCCUCUUCUCUGAGGUGAGCUUGCCAGAAGAGUCUCUGCCACCUUUUCUUGAAAGGUGCCUCACACUCAAGAAAUUUGUGACUUGACUCCUCCUCCAAUGUCUUGUCAACAAAAGUGCCAUCUGUAACACCCCGAUUUCGGUGGCGUCACUUUAGUAACUCAAAAUAAAAUAAAGCGGAAAAAGCAGGUAUUUUUUUUUGUUUU
rnacentral:lncRNA from 1 species